UGUUUGUGCUUUAUACUAUGCACAGGACAUCGGAGUUCAUAUGGCAGCGGUGUGACAACAUUCGGCAUCAUCGUGCUGGUGCUGUUGUUUGUGCUUGCUGUUGCCUGCCUCCUCAAGUUUGUUGUCUGCAACUGUCUAUUUUGCUGCAGGAACCAGCAACAACCAUCGCCUCCACGAAAACAUUCCAGGAAAUACAACUACCUCACUGUGGGUUACCUCAAAGACAAUGAGACACAAGCUCUUCUUGCACCGGGCAAGCGUCCUCCCAGCUACUCAGAAGCCACCCGGGUACCACAGAUCACCAUUUCCGAUUACUCAUCCCUUUCUCACCCCACCACGAUGGCCUACACAAGCACGUGACCCAAGCGUAUUGCAGAGCAGCCGAUGGAUCACCGUUGUAUGCAAUCACUGUAAAUAGAG